rnacentral:rRNA from 1 species
AUGAACGCUGGCGGCGUGCCUAACACAUGCAAGUCGAGCGAUUUUACUUUCGGUAAAGAGCGGCGGACGGGUGAGUAACGCGUGGGUAACCUGCCCUGUACACACGGAUAACAUACCGAAAGGUAUGCUAAUACGAGAUAAUAUACUUUUAUCGCAUGGUAGAAGUAUCAAAGCUCCGGCGGUACAGGAUGGACCCGCGUCUGAUUAGCUAGUUGGUAAGGUAACGGCUUACCAAGGCGACGAUCAGUAGCCGACCUGAGAGGGUGAUCGGCCACAUUGGAACUGAGAUACGGUCCAAACUCCUACGGGAGGCAGCAGUGGGGAAUAUUGCACAAUGGGCGAAAGCCUGAUGCAGCAACGCCGCGUGAGCGAUGAAGGCCUUCGGGUCGUAAAGCUCUGUCCUCAAGGAAGAUAAUGACGGUACUUGAGGAGGAAGCCCCGGCUAACUACGUGCCAGCAGCCGCGGUAAUACGUAGGGGGCUAGCGUUAUCCGGAAUUACUGGGCGUAAAGGGUGCGUAGGUGGUUUCUUAAGUCAGAGGUGAAAGGCUACGGCUCAACCGUAGUAAGCCUUUGAAACUGGGAAACUUGAGUGCAGGAGAGGAGAGUGGAAUUCCUAGUGUAGCGGUGAAAUGCGUAGAUAUUAGGAGGAACACCAGUUGCGAAGGCGGCUCUCUGGACUGUAACUGACACUGAGGCACGAAAGCGUGGGGAGCAAACAGGAUUAGAUACCCUGGUAGUCCACGCCGUAAACGAUGAGUACUAGCUGUCGGAGGUUACCCCCUUCGGUGGCGCAGCUAACGCAUUAAGUACUCCGCCUGGGAAGUACGCUCGCAAGAGUGGAACUCAAAGGAAUUGACGGGGACCCGCACAAGUAGCGGAGCAUGUGGUUUAAUUCGAAGCAACGCGAAGAACCUUACCUAAGCUUGACAUCCUUUUGACCGAUGCCUAAUCGCAUCUUUCCCUUCGGGGACAGAAGUGACAGGUGGUGCAUGGUUGUCGUCAGCUCGUGUCGUGAGAUGUUGGGUUAAGUCCCGCAACGAGCGCAACCCUUGCCUUUAGUUGUCAGCAUUAAGUUGGGCACUCUAGAGGGACUGCCAGGGAUAACCUGGAGGAAGGUGGGGAUGACGUCAAAUCAUCAUGCCCCUUAUGCUUAGGGCUACACACGUGCUACAAUGGGUGGUACAGAGGGCAGCCAAGUCGUGAGGCGGAGCUAAUCCCUUAAAGCCAUUCUCAGUUCGGAUUGUAGGCUGAAACUCGCCUACAUGAAGCUGGAGUUACUAGUAAUCGCAGAUCAGAAUGCUGCGGUGAAUGCGUUCCCGGGUCU